rnacentral:pre_miRNA from 1 species
CUUUUAGUAUAAGUAUGUUUCAUGCGAUAUUGGGGACUUACUUAUACUAAAA